rnacentral:ncRNA from 1 species
AGCUCGUGGAGGAAAUGUUUAAAAACCUCAUUGCCCAGUCCUGUAAUUCCUUCAUCGCGAUCGCGGCCAAGGCCUCGCGAUCGCGAAGGGCAAAAUUCCAAGCUUCCAAAACUUCUCUAUGCGAACGCGACAGGAGCUCUGUGAACGCGAAGCUUCCACUCACAAAGCUAUGCGAACGCGUGACCAUACACGCGAACGCGAAGCACCAGACCAAGACCUUCCGCGAACGCGGACCCUCAAUCGCGAAUGCGAAGAGUAAGGAAUCCCGUGUGAAUCAGCAAGGACCACCUUGCAAGGCUAAAUACUCCUGGGUGACCGAUAGCAAAGUAGUACCGUGAGGGAAGGGUGAAAAGAACCCCCAUCGGGGAGUGAAAUAGAACAUGAAACCGUAAGCU